GGCACAGUGCCAGAGUGGUUAAUGGGUUAGACUCGAAUCUUCCAUUCGGUGUGAUCUAAUGGCUUCGGCCGCACAGGUUCGAGUCCUGUCUGUGUCG